AGGUGUAGCGCAGUUGGUAGCGCGCUUGGUUCGGGACCAAGAGGUCGUGGGUUCAAAUCCCGUCGCCU
rnacentral:tRNA from 1 species